rnacentral:rRNA from 1 species
AUCAUUACCGAGUGAGGGCCCUCUGGGUCCAACCUCCCACCCGUGUUUAUUUUACCUUGUUGCUUCGGCGGGCCCGCCUUAACUGGCCGCCGGGGGGCUUACGCCCCCGGGCCCGCGCCCGCCGAAGACACCCUCGAACUCUGUCUGAAGAUUGUAGUCUGAGUGAAAAUAUAAAUUAUUUAAAACUUUCAACAACGGAUCUCUUGGUUCCGGCAUCGAUGAAGAACGCAGCGAAAUGCGAUACGUAAUGUGAAUUGCAAAUUCAGUGAAUCAUCGAGUCUUUGAACGCACAUUGCGCCCCCUGGUAUUCCGGGGGGCAUGCCUGUCCGAGCGUCAUUGCUGCCCUCAAGCACGGCUUGUGUGUUGGGCCCCGUCCUCCGAUCCCGGGGGACGGGCCCGAAAGGCAGCGGCGGCACCGCGUCCGGUCCUCGAGCGUAUGGGGCUUUGUCACCCGCUCUGUAGGCCCGGCCGGCGCUUGCCGAUCAACCCAAAUUUUUAUCCAGGUUGACCUCGGAUCAGGUAGGGAUACCCGCUGAACUUAAGCAUAUCAAUAAGCGGAGGA